UAAUACAUUGCAAGUCUUAGCGAACGGACGAGAAGCUUGCUUCUCUGAUGUUAGCGGCGGACGGGUGAGUAACACGUGGAUAACCUACCUAUAAGACUGGGAUAACUUCGGGAAACCGGAGCUAAUACCGGAUAAUAUUUUGAACCGCAUGGUUCAAAAGUGAAAGACGGUCUUGCUGUCACUUAUAGAUGGAUCCGCGCUGCAUUAGCUAGUUGGUAAGGUAACGGCUUACCAAGGCAACGAUGCAUAGCCGACCUGAGAGGGUGAUCGGCCACACUGGAACUGAGACACGGUCCAGACUCCUACGGGAGGCAGCAGUAGGGAAUCUUCCGCAAUGGGCGAAAGCCUGACGGAGCAACGCCGCGUGAGUGAUGAAGGUCUUCGGAUCGUAAAACUCUGUUAUUAGGGAAGAACAUAUGUGUAAGUAACUGUGCACAUCUUGACGGUACCUAAUCAGAAAGCCACGGCUAACUACGUGCCAGCAGCCGCGGUAAUACGUAGGUGGCAAGCGUUAUCCGGAAUUAUUGGGCGUAAAGCGCGCGUAGGCGGUUUUUUAAGUCUGAUGUGAAAGCCCACGGCUCAACCGUGGAGGGUCAUUGGAAACUGGAAAACUUGAGUGCAGAAGAGGAAAGUGGAAUUCCAUGUGUAGCGGUGAAAUGCGCAGAGAUAUGGAGGAACACCAGUGGCGAAGGCGACUUUCUGGUCUGUAACUGACGCUGAUGUGCGAAAGCGUGGGG
rnacentral:rRNA from 1 species